AGAAACUGGAUGAGGUGUCUAUCCAAAUGCUAUCAGAAAGUACUCAGGAGGAACACUCAGCUAACAGGAUAUUCAGGGCCACACUUUUCAUUUCCAGCCACAGCACCUAAGUACAGAAGUCACCGAGGUGCAUCUCUUUCAUUCUGGGAGAUCUGUGCUAAUCUAGGAGAAAAAUCAAGAAGGAGUAGGCGACACCAUGACAGCAUGCUGGGCUCCGAGGUUCUGAACCACUGCUGGUCAUUGUCUUUUUAGAGGUCCACACCAGAGAUGGGAAGAGCUGAUCGACAUGGACAUCCAGGCUACACCUAAGAAUGAAGGGCAGGUGUGGCUUGUCACCAGUGAGAGUCAGCACAGACUCAAGCCAUCAAGUUGCAGACGCUAUCACGAUUCCAUCCUGACUUCCCUGGGCAGACAACCUCACCGUGUGUCUUCACUAACUCUAGAGCCCUAGCCCACUAUGGAAAGAUACAAACAGGCUGGGAGUAUGAAUCAACUUGCUGAUGCCCAUGUCCAGUGGAGAAGCUAUUUACAGAAGCCAGAACUCCCAUUUUAUGCACCCCCAAAAUAAUCAUGAUCCAUACUCCUAGUGGGGGAGAUGACCGAAUGGCUCUGAAUUGCAGCUCCAUCAGGACCCAGAGAGAGAGGAGGAAAGAAGAAAGGACAUUUGAA